rnacentral:rRNA from 1 species
GUGCGUAGCGUCCUAUAAGUAUGAUGUGAAAUCUCCAGCUUAACUGGGAGGUGCGCUAUAGACUGUAGACUAGAGUGUGGAGAGAAAGUAGAAUUCCUGGUGUAGCGGUGAAAUGCGUAGAUAUCAGGAAGAAACACCGGUGGUGUAAACGGCUUUCUGGACCAUAACUGACGCUGAGGCACGAAAGCGUGGGUAGCAAACAGGAUUAGAUACCCUGGUAGUCCACGCCCUAAACGAUGCAUAUUUGGUGUGGGUCAUUCAGUUGAUCCGUGCCGGAGCUAACGCGUUAAAUAUGCCGCCUGGGGAGUACAGUCGCAAGGCUGAAACUCAAAGGAAUUGACGGGGGCCCGCACAAGCGGUGGAGCAUGUGGUUUAAUUCGACGCAACGCGAAGAACCUUACCUGGGCUCGAAAUGCUAUGGACCAGCUUAUGAAAGUAGGCCUUCCCGCAAGGGACCGUAGUAUAGGUGCUGCAUGGCUGUCGUCAGCUCGUGUCGUGAGAUGUUGGGUUAAGUCCCGCAACGAGCGCAACCCUUGUCCUGUGUU